GAUCACUUCCACUGUGGUGUAAAGCCCAGUCUAGCCUCCUGAUGACAAAGGACCACAGGGAGACAGAGACCCAGGCUGCAGCUAACCUGCCAGUUUUUGCUAGGGACUGCACAACAAAAUCACCUUUGGAGACAUAACAAACGUGCAGAGGUACAGACGUCUAUGUUUUCAGAAGGCUCCAGGUGAGUCUGGGAGGCACACCCCUGAUUUAGAACCACUGCCUUAAGCCACACCAAAUACCUGGCAUAUAAAACAACACGGAGAGCUCAUAAAAGCUAAUCUCCGCGAAGCCUUCAAGCAUAAUUAGAAAGGAGAAGAGACGAUGAUUUCACCAUAUCCAAACUUGGAACUCCAAUAACAACUCCUACUCAUGGCCACAACGGCUUCAUCCUUAUCACAGCUCUCUUUGAAUAAAAGCUUCUCAAAAAGCUAAGCCAUUUUUCUUCCUAAUGGGCAUCUUUAAAGAACAGACCCUGGAGCUCGACCUUGAAUGCUUUGAAUCCCAGUUCUGCCACUUAAACUGUGUGAUUUGGGGCAAGUUAUAUUCUUU